rnacentral:tRNA from 1 species
GCGGAAAUGGGUCAAAUGGUAAAA